GGGGGGAGCAAGCGUUGUUCGGAUUUACUGGGCGUAAAGGGCGCGUAGGCGGCCAGCACAAGUCAGUUGUGAAAUCUCCGAGCUUAACUCGGAAAGGUCAACUGAUACUGUGCGGCUAGAGUGCGGAAGGGGCAACUGGAAUUCUUGGUGUAGCGGUGAAAUGCGUAGAUAUCAAGAGGAAUACCUGAGGUGAAGACGGGUUGCUAGGCUGACACUGACGCUGAGGCGCGAAAGCCAGGGGAGCAAACGAGAUUAGAUACCCCGGUAGUCCUGGCCCUAAACGAUGAAUACUUGGUGUCUGGAGUUUUUUCGCUCCGGGUGCCGUCGCUAACGUUUUAAGUAUUCCGCCUGGGGAGUACGGUCGCAAGACUG
rnacentral:rRNA from 1 species